GGUGCUAUAGCUCAGUGGUAGAGCUUUCGGCUGCAGUCCGAAGGGUCCAUGGAUCGAGUCCGUGUGGCACCU